GGCAGGGGGAGGCAAAAGGAUCUCGUCUGAAGGUCUGCAUGCUUUAGGCCAUUCAAAGGUUCCAGCCAGAGAUAUGCAAAAUGCUUGUAAUGAAACUGCAAGCCAAGUGAAAACAGAGCAACAAGAUAUUGCAUGUAGUGGAGAGUGGCUCCUGCUUCAAGUAGAAGAAAAAGAAGAGAGGGCAACCUCCUGGACUUAUUCCGUGUCCGGGGACAAUUCACGUUCUUCUGUCCUGAGGAAAGAGAAAGGGAUGUAGAGAGGGGAAGAGAAAGAGAGGAGCUCAGACCCAGGGAAUAAUUACAGCACCAAGGCAUUAUAAGCUGAAGACUUGGUCUCCAUCCAAAGCUGGGCAGAGCUGUGUGAGAUGUCUCUUUCUUUUGGAUGUUCCCAGGUUGCUCCUGAAGAAUAGUUGUGGGAAGAAACUUCCCUACGUCAUGGGUGUUUUCUGAAUAUUUUUGGGGGGCAGUUUAAAAGAAGAAACGUUCCCAUGUGUCUGUUUCCCUACUCCCUGCAUCUGCUGAAGUUCUGCUGGCUGUUCUGUUGUCAGCGUAACAAACAGGACUGCUGGAGGCAAUGUAGGCACUCUCAACAAAUGUACGUCAGCCCAGUAGAUCAGUGAGCAGUGCUGUCUUUCUUUUGUGUGUAAUUAACAAGGGAACUUGAUUUGAUUCUGAUGUUCCUCACUGCCUGCCUCUGUAGAAGUCCAACAACAUGCUAAGGAGAAGUAAUACAUGGGAAUGAUCUGUGCAGGCUCUGUGUGUUUUUGUAGUCUACCACACUUUGUGAGGAUAAGGUGUUGCCAGGAGUAGGCAAUUAUUGCAUCUCUGGUGUUACAGAAAAGAGAUUCUUUGGGCCAAAUUGACUUUGCAGUUUUCUGACUGUCUUAUAGCAUCCUACAGCCCAGCAGUAAUGUCUGCCAUUAAGAGCUUUGCAUAUAAGCUAAGGUGAGAUCAGGACUGUCUUGCACUGAUGAUGGAGGUUUUAGGGAAGUUCUGUCAGCAUAUGAGCUGUGGAAAACCCCAAGAUGAGUUAUUAGUGUUUAAGGUGUACUAGAAGAGCUUGGAUAUGCUCCUGUUGCUUAUACAUGCAUGCCAAUUACCUGAUGAUUCUCCAGGUUGUCUAGCUAUGAAGUAAUCUAUCUGAAACCUGGGCAAAGCCAUUACAGAGAUAUCAGACAAACACCUCUCUUAUUUAUGCUGCAGAAUAGAGGUAAUGAACAUCCAAUUUCUUAGCUCUUCUACUCUUGAGCUUGGAGCAAAGAAUUUUUUUCUAAGGUGUCAACUGCUAACCUGACUACUAAGUUGUGCUAUCAUUGAAAGAAGAGAACAUUGACAGGCACCUUUCUUUUGAAAGAGUCAUCUACAGUGCUGUAGCUGUUAAGUUUUGCAGAAUAGCUGCCUACGAGAGGGAGAAAAGGCAAGUUAGGCAGCCUUCAGACUUUUGGUAUGCGCUAAUUAUGAUAUGAAUUGUAUGAAUUUCAUUUAUACUCAUGUAUUUAUAUAUAUAUCAUUAAUUUGUUACAAAGAGGGGAAAAAUCAUUACUGUAGAGUCAAAUUGCCUGUAAAUGACUAAAGGAAUAUGUUAAUGAUCCUGCUCCAAAAUGAAUAAUUAUAAAGCAGGUGCACUUGAGAUGUGAUCGUUUAACUGACAGCAAGCAGCUUCUAAUAUCUUGAAUAUCCAUAAUAACAGUGAUGUCAUAACCAGAAAAAACCAUUGCUCACAACCUCCUUUUGAUACACAGGAGGACUGUAGGCAUAAUUCCCAUAUAGAGCUGUUGCCCUGCCUGCUUAAGGAGUGGCUAAUUUAUAAACAAAUCAAGAAUUCACUGUGUUGCUUUUUAUGCAAUAUAUUUCCAGUAAAAUGUCGUGGUAUUGUCUCAAACAGAAAAUAAACUUUGAUAGCAGAAGGCAUUAGUA